rnacentral:sRNA from 1 species
GAUGACGUCACUGCAAGGCGCCGGUGGACACGUUGGCUGCGUUUUCGGCGGGAUUCCCGCGGACAAAAAUGGCUAUGGCUAGCGAUUUCUACCUGCGCUACUACGUAGGGCACAAGGGCAAGUUUGGGCACGAGUUUCUGGAGUUCGAAUUUCGGCCGGACGGAAAGCUUAGAUAUGCCAACAACAGCAAUUACAAAAAUGAUGUCAUGAUCAGAAAAGAGGCUUAUGUGCACAAGAGUGUAAUGGAAGAACUGAAGAGAAUUAUUGAUGACAGUGAAAUUACAAAAGAAGAUGAUGCUUUGUGGCCUCCCCCUGAUAGGGUUGGCCGACAGGUUUGUAUUUAGUGAUUAAGUGUAUAAAUAUUAAAAAUUGAUAAUACUAUUUUGUUUCCCCUUAUUUAUUUGGAAUGAGUCUAAGUUGACUCUUUGGCUUUCUAUUUAAUAGGCACCUGGUAAAUUCUCUUUAAUUUUAUCUCUUAGUUCCGUUUUUCUGUGCUACCUCCUAGUAGUGAAGGAGUCAGUGCAUAGCUCUAAAUUUAGACAUCUUUCUCUGUAGUCACCCCAGCUAACGUUAGGAUGUUUUCACAGUGCAGUGUUAUGAAUAAUUUCUGUUGUGUGUUAAUCACUUUUAUUAAGAAUAUGACUAUGUAAAAUUUACUUUUGCGAAAUCAUAACUUAAAAUUCUUAUUUGCAUCUCUAUACCCCAGAGAGAGACUUGAUUGGUGGUUUCUUUGUUAAAACUGAUGAUUGCAUUUCCCUCUCAUAUUCCUUCAGAAUAAAUGAUGUUUCUCAGGCUUCUGAAGAACUCUGAAGGCCUAAUUUCACUCUAAAAAGAAAGUUUGGUUUCUGAAUUGGGUCUUUUCAACUCUUGGAGAAAUGAGAUACAACCCCUGGAAGGAAGAAACAUUUAAUUUCACUUUUGUAUAUCCCUGAGGAUUGUGCUUUAUAUCACCUUCUUUGAAUAGAAGAAAAUGUGGAGAAAUCUAACACAUGCUGACACUCUGUAGGAGUAACUUAAGUCUUCUGUUUAAAGAAGCAUUAUUUAGAAAAGCAAAGGUAAUAGUUAACAGUAUUUAUUUUAAGCAUCGUAUCACUUUUAAAAAGUAAAUUUAGGCCUCAGUUUGUUUUAUGCAGAUACACAUAUGUACUAAAAAGCAAACCACAGCAGCUAACCUUUUAUAUCAUUUAGACUCAGGGAGAGCCUAGUAUUUUAUCUGUUCACUUAAGGAUGUGUUCAUGGGUUUUGGUUAGUGGGGAGGAGUAGGCAUGCUUCAGAAAUUGCCUUUUGUAUCAAGUCAAAGGUUUUAUGGCUGUUAGAGCAUCUUAGCUAAUUCUCCAUUCCGUGUGUGUCAUAAACUGCAUAAUUAGGCCUCUGGUAAAUAAAUAGCUAGGAUUGUCUUCAGUAGUGUCUGUUAACUUGAAAAUUCGUUACAGAUAUAGCUUUUUAAUUAUUGGUUUUAGGCCUGCAGAUAAACAAUAUAGGGAAAAAUCUAUACAGUAAUUACAGCACACUAGGAACAUCUACAUUAAAUGGUUGUGUUUUUUUUUACUAGUUCUUAAUUUUAGUUAUUUUGUGGAGUAUUAGUUUUGAAGUCUUACCAUCUUGGGAUCAAAUAUAAGUACCAUCAUUAUUAGUGGUUAUAAAUAUCAACAAGUGUUUUCCUCUGCUUUAUGAGUUUUGGAUUACACAUUUGUAAAAUAGGUUAAUAAGGUUAUUUUCAAGAUUACAGAGAGUAUAAAGUCCCUAGCACUAGGGCCUGACAUACAGUAGGUGCUAAAGUGGUGGUGGUUAUUAAUAUUAUACAUUUUAUUUGUAGAAUCUUCCAGAAAGAAAAAAAUGUGUAUUUAUCAUAUUAAAAAUGGUCUUAUACUCCUAUCAUUUUUACAACAUGUGCUUCAAAGUGAUGUCUUUAGUUUUUACUGACAUUGUAAGAAAUAUUUCUUUGUCAUUUUGUUUCAUAGUGUCUUCUUUAUGUCUCUGGAAAGCAAUUCUUUGUUGGUCCUAAACUUGAGGGUAGUGCUCGUGAGCAGUUUUUAUUUUAAGGAUAUAGUUUAUAUCUAAGAAACCAUGUUUCUUUCCCCCCGCCCCCCACUCCCUCUGUUGGCUGCUAGAAAACUUGCAACUAAAAUUGGGAUCCACUUGUAGCAAGAAUACAGAUACCUCUGGGAUAGAUUUUUAUAUUAACUACAUUUUUCUGCUCUAUUUUUUAGGAGCUUGAAAUUGUAAUUGGAGAUGAGCACAUAUCUUUUACCACAUCAAAAAUAGGUUCUCUUAUUGAUGUAAAUCAGUCAAAGGAUCCGGAAGGCCUUCGAGUAUUUUACUAUUUGGUACAAGACUUGAAAUGUUUAGUUUUCAGUCUUAUUGGAUUACACUUCAAGAUUAAACCAAUUUAAAUUGUAUGUUUUCAGGCUGUUUGUAUAUUUAAUUAAGGGAUGGGAGGGGUUAUUUGUCAUUUACAGUAUUGGGGUUUUUAUGAAUGUGAAGCAAACAAAAAAAAUUUGUAUGUAAACUGAAAAUAAGAAAAUACAUUAGCAAAAGCUUAAUGCUUAUCCUUACUUGAGUCCGCAUGGGUUGGACAGUCCCCACACACAUUAAGUUCCGUAAAUAAAAGCCACCUUUUGUUAAAAAUUUGCUCUAAUAAAACGUACCAAAUCCUG